rnacentral:rRNA from 1 species
GACAGAGGGGGCAAGCGUUGCUCGGAAUCACUGGGCGUAAAGGGCGCGUAGGCGGGAUGGCAAGUCAGUCGUGAAAUCUCUCGGCUCAACCGAGAAACGUCGGCUGAUACUGCCGUUCUUGAGGGAUGCAGAGGAGACUGGAAUUCCCGGUGUAGCGGUGAAAUGCGUAGAUAUCAGGAGGAACACCGAUGGCGAAGGCAGGUCUCUGGGCUGACACUGACGCUCAUGCACGAAAGCGUGGGGGAGCAAACAGG